GAUGAACGCUGACAGAAUGCUUAACACAUGCAAGUCAACUGUGGCGGACGUGUGAGUAACGCGUAAAGAACUUGCCUCACAGAUAGGGUCAACAUUUGGAAACGAAUGCUAAUACCUGAUACUGUGAGAGAGCUUUGCGUCCCAUUAGCUAGUGGGGGAGGUAACGGCUCACCAAGGCGAUGAUGGGUAGCCGGCCUGAGAGGGUGAUAGGCCACAGGGGGACUUGGAAACGGCCCGUACGCCUACGGGAGGCAGCAGUGGAGAAGAUUGGACAAUGGACCAAAGUCUGAUCCAGCAAUUCUGUGUGCAAGAUGAAGUUUUCGGAAUGUAAAGUGCUUUCAGUUGGGAAGCGGUACCAACAGAAGAAGUGACGGCUAAAUACGUGCCAGCAGCCGCGGUAAUAC
rnacentral:rRNA from 1 species